GGUGAGUAAUGCUUAGGAAUCUGCCUAUUAGUGGGGGACAACAUCUCGAAAGGGAUGCUAAUACCGCAUACGUCCUACGGGAGAAAGCAGGGGAUCUUCGGACCUUGCGCUAAUAGAUGAGCCUAAGUCGGAUUAGCUAGUUGGUGGGGUAAAGGCCUACCAAGGCGACGAUCUGUAGCGGGUCUGAGAGGAUGAUCCGCCACACUGGGACUGAGACACGGCCCAGACUCCUACGGGAGGCAGCAGUGGGGAAUAUUGGACAAUGGGGGGAACCCUGAUCCAGCCAUGCCGCGUGUGUGAAGAAGGCCUUUUGGUUGUAAAGCACUUUAAGCGAGGAGGAGGCUACCGAGAUUAAUACUCUUGGAUAGUGGACGUUACUCGCAGAAUAAGCACCGGCUAACUCUGUGCCAGCAGCCGCGGUAAUACAGAGGGUGCAAGCGUUAAUCGGAUUUACUGGGCGUAAAGCGCGCGUAGGUGGCCAAUUAAGUCAAAUGUGAAAUCCCCGAGCUUAACUUGGGAAUUGCAUUCGAUACUGGUUGGCUAGAGUAUGGGAGAGGAUGGUAGAAUUCCAGGUGUAGCGGUGAAAUGCGUAGAGAUCUGGAGGAAUACCGAUGGCGAAGGCAGCCAUCUGGCCUAAUACUGACACUGAGGUGCGAAAGCAUGGGGAGCAAACAGGAUUAGAUACCCUGGUAGUCCAUGCCGUAAACGAUGUCUACUAGCCGUUGGGGCCUUUGAGGCUUUAGUGGCG
rnacentral:rRNA from 1 species